CCUACGGGUGGCAGCAGUGAGGAAUAUUGGUCAAUGGACGAGAGUCUGAACCAGCCAAGUAGCGUGAAGGAUGACUGCCCUAUGGGUUGUAAACUUCUUUUAUAUGGGAAUAAAACGUUCCACGUGUGGGAUUUUGUAUGUACCAUAUGAAUAAGGAUCGGCUAACUCCGUGCCAGCAGCCGCGGUAAUACGGAGGAUCCGAGCGUUAUCCGGAUUUAUUGGGUUUAAAGGGAGCGUAGGUGGAUUGUUAAGUCAGUUGUGAAAGUUUGCGGCUCAACCGUAAAAUUGCAGUUGAAACUGGCAGUCUUGAGUACAGUAGAGGUGGGCGGAAUUCGUGGUGUAGCGGUGAAAUGCUUAGAUAUCACGAAGAACUCCGAUUGCGAAGGCAGUUCACUGGACCGCAACUGACACUGAGGCUCGAAAGUGUGGGUAUCAAACAGGAUUAGAUACCCCAGUAGUC
rnacentral:rRNA from 1 species